ACGCUGGCGGCAGGCCUAACACAUGCAAGUCGAGCGGCAGCGGAAAGUAGCUUGCUACUUUGCCGGCGAGCGGCGGACGGGUGAGUAAUGUCUGGGAAACUGCCCGAUGGAGGGGGAUAACCACUGGAAACGGUGGCUAAUACCGCAUAACGUCUUCGGACCAAAGUGGGGGACCUUCGGGCCUCACACCAUCGGAUGUGCCCAGAUGGGAUUAGCUAGUAGGUGGGGUAAUGGCUCACCUAGGCGACGAUCCCUAGCUGGUCUGAGAGGAUGACCAGCCACACUGGAACUGAGACACGGUCCAGACUCCUACGGGAGGCAGCAGUGGGGAAUAUUGCACAAUGGGCGCAAGCCUGAUGCAGCCAUGCCGCGUGUGUGAAGAAGGCCUUCGGGUUGUAAAGCACUUUCAGCGAGGAGGAAGGGUAGUGUCUUAAUACGGCAUUACAUUGACGUUACUCGCAGAAGAAGCACCGGCUAACUCCGUGCCAGCAGCCGCGGUAAUACGGAGGGUGCAAGCGUUAAUCGGAAUUACUGGGCGUAAAGCGCACGCAGGCGGUUUGUUAAGUCAGAUGUGAAAUCCCCGAGCUUAACUUGGGAACUGCAUUUGUAACUGGCAGACUAGAGUCUCGUAGAGGGGGGUUGAAUUCCAGGUGUAGCGGUGAAAUG
rnacentral:rRNA from 1 species